CUCCUGGCUAAGCGGAUUCAGCGCUGGCCAACAAACCCAGACAGAGACCUUGGGCAACAUUACCAAAUCCUUCAGGCCUCAGCUGUGAAAUGGGUGUGACUGAAACCUCUUUCCAGGCUGUGGUUGAGACUAACUGCGUUAUCACACACAGCACGCUUGGAACAGCACGCAAUGGAUACUAACUAUUAAAAUUGUGCUUAAACCUGGUGUCGUGGACUACCCUGCUAUGUGUAAUCUUAAUGCAAGAGUACGCAGACUGAGAGCGCCACUUGAGACAAGGUCCCCCAAACGCCUGACCGAGUUGGAGAUCAGUGGUGGAAAUUUCAAAGGUAGAGGACACAGCUGCCGUCUUGGGAGUGGUGGACUCCUCCCAGAAGACAAUCAUUUAACCGGAGAAAAUGGUUUUAAACAUCAUUUAAAGUCUCUGAAAUUAUCCUAAGGGCAUACGCAGAAUGAAAAACUAUUUAUUCAGGAAAAUCCAGUAAAUCUUAGUAACAACAGUGAGAGUCUGUGGCAUUUCAGCCUCAGCCCUCCCUCCAAGCCCAUCGAGAAAAUGGAAGCUCUGCUCUCUACAGAUGUGGAAAAGAAAAUGGGGGCCCUACUCCCCCAGUGCCCAGUCUGGGGCUCUGGCCACCUGUGUUGCCCACCUCCCAGCCCCGUGUUAAAAUGUUGAAAGCCAAAUAAAGAGAAAGCCUUGAGAACAGAAAGGGCACGUGACCCAUCGCGCACAAGGAGGCCCCGGUGAGACCCACCGCGCACGAGGGGGGCCCGGUGAGACCUAUCUCACACAAGGGGAUUCUGUAGAUAAUUGUAAAAGACAGUAUAACAUAUUUCUUCUUUCUUCUCAACUUAUUUUUAAAAUGCUUACAUAAAAGAAUAUGUAUAUAAUUACAUUAUUUGUAUUAUAACAUAUAGAAACGUAAUACAUUUGAAAAUAGCAGCACAAAGAAGCCAGGUGGAACAAAGCUGUACUGGAGAGAAAGCAAUGACAUCAGAUAGUAACCAGUAUCCACCGGGGGAAGAAAAGAGAAUCAGAAAUGGUAAAUAAGGAGAUUAAUAUAACAAACUUUAUAAACAUAUACUUGCUCUCCUUUCUUCUCUCAACUUCCUUAAAAGACUUAAGAUUAUAUACAGUAGUAAUUAUAACAAUAUAUUGUUGGGUUUGUAACAUAUACAGGGACAAUAUAUUAAACAACAGCACAAAAAAGAAGUCUAUGGAAUGAAACUAUGUUGUAUGAAGUCUAUGGAAUUGAACUCAUUCCACAGGAGUAUGUUUCUGUAUUUCACUGGUAUUAGGCUAGUAUAAAUCUAAAAUAAAAUUUGAUGUUAAGAUGUACAUUGUAAG
rnacentral:lncRNA from 10 species